rfam:Gossypium arboreum cultivar AKA8401 contig_46506_1, whole genome shotgun sequence.
AACUAAUAGUGAGGACACCUUCUCAAUAAAUCCUUAUACCUCUCUCAUGCAUCGUAUAAGGUUUCUAAGUCCAUUUUCACAAAGGAAGAGGUAUCAUUCCUCAACUU